rnacentral:lncRNA from 1 species
UAACCACAGCCCUGCCUUCCUGUCUUUCACCUACAUACUUUUUCUUCUGUGUGUUGUAGAUUUUCCCUUUCCACAUGCUGGUUUGCAAAGCCAGACCUGGGAGAAGCAUGCACCAGAAAGACCACCUGGAUGAGAAGCUGCAAGAGUGGCAAGCCUGCAUUUUGGCCUGUGGAGGAUUGAAGGGGAAGGGAAUCUCUUGGUAUUCCCUUGCCUCUGGUUUUUCUUGAAAAUCAGCAGGGUCAAAGCAGGCUGUGAACCCAAGUACAAGAGCAGGCCCUAGAUAGGGAGAGCCUCAGGCAGUGUUAGUCACAGGCAAUUUUUUCUGAAAGUUCUUUCUCUGAUGAGCAAGACCCUUGGGGUGGGGGGAAUGCCUAUGAGUCUCAGUACUCACUGAGGCUUGCCCUUUUCCAGCACGUGGUUUUCUGACUUCAAGUCUUAGGCUUUAGUUAGCGAGCGAAGGUAAGUGUGUUUUCAGCUCAGCCUCUUCAACGUGGCAGAAAUAGAAAGAUUUUGCUCUAAGAGAAAAUUGCACUUGAAUGUUCUCAUUUGAAAGAACUAGAAAGUUUCUGACACAAGGCUUCUCUAGUAGUGAGGUCCAUCUUCCACACUUUUUCUUUUUCUUUUUCAGACAGAAUCAGGACAAUUGCCCAGGUUCUCCUGGGUCUCCUGAUGUCCAAGGAGACUUAGAUUCCCAAGUAGUCUGGCGUUCGCAGAGGGCACUUCUGUGCCACGGUUCUGAAGCACAGGGUAUUUUUUGUCUUUCCAGUAUAGACCAUUGAACCCAGGAUGCUCUGCCCCUGAGCUCCAUCCACAGCUCCUUCAUUUUGAGGCCAGGACUCUCUAAUUGCAGGGUGCGGCCUUCCAUUCGCAAUCCUGCCCUCCCAGGGUCUUCAGUGUCUGCAUGACCUGGAUCCUGGCCCAUAGCAUUUGGAAAGAACGUGAACUCUCCCCUCCCUGCGAUGAUGACC